CCAAUAUACUCGAUCUCUAGGCC
rnacentral:siRNA from 1 species